rnacentral:rRNA from 1 species
UCGAACGAGAAGCCCGCAAGGGUGAGUAAAGUGGCGCACGGGUGAGUAACACGUGGGUAAUCUGCCUCUGGGUGGGGAAUAACUCUGGGAAACCGGAGCUAAUACCGCAUAAUCCUGAGAAGGAAAAGGAGAAAUCCGCCGAGAGAGGAGCCCGCGGCCGAUUAGCUGGUUGGUGAGGUAAAAGCUCACCAAGGCAAUGAUCGGUAGCCGGCCUGAGAGGGCACACGGCCACACUGGCACUGAAACACGGGCCAGACUCCUACGGGAGGCAGCAGUGGGGAAUCUUGCACAAUGGGGGAAACCCUGAUGCAGCGACGCCGCGUGAGCGAUGAAGCCCUUCGGGGUGUAAAGCUCUUUCGGCAGGGACGAUAAUGACGGUACCUGAAGAAGAAGCUGCGGCUAACUACGUGCCAGCAGCCGCGGUAAUACGUAGGCAGCGAGCGUUG